rnacentral:rRNA from 1 species
CCUGAUGCAGCGACGCCGCGUGAGUGAUGAAGGCCUUCGGGUUGUAAACCUCUUUCAGCAGGGACGAAGCGAAAGUGACGGUACCUGCAGAAGAAGCACCGGCUAACUACGUGCCAGCAGCCGCGGUAAUACUUAGGGUGCGAGCGUUGUCCGGAAUUACUGGGCGUAAAGAGUUCGUAGGCGGUUUGUCGCGUCGUCUGUGAAAACCCAUCGCUCAACGAUGGGCCGGCAGGCGAUACGGGCAGACUUGAGUACUGCAGGGGAGACUGGAAUUCCUGGUGUAGCGGUGAAAUGCGCAGAUGUCACGAGGAACACCGGUGGCGAAGGCGGGUCUCUGGGCAGUAACUGACGCUGAGGAACGAAAGCGUGGGUAGCAAACAGGAUUAGAUACCCUGGUAGUCCACGCCGUAAACGGUGGGCGCUAGGUGUGGGUUCCUUCCACGGGAUCUGUGCCGUAGCUCACGCAUUAAGCGCCCCGCCUGGGGAGUACGGCCGCAAGGCUAAAACUCAAAGGAAUUGACGGGGGCCCGCACAAGCGGCGGAGCAUGUGGAUUAAUUCGAUGCAACGCGAAGAACCUUACCUGGGUUUGACAUAUACUGGAAAGCUGCAGAGAUGUACCCCCCCUUGUGGCC